ACGAACGCUGGCGGCGUGGAUAAGACAUGCAAGUCGAACGAGAGAAUUGCUAGCUUGCUAAUAAUUCUCUAGUGGCGCACGGGUGAGUAACACGUGAGUAACCUGCCCCCGAGAGCGGGAUAGCCCUGGGAAACUGGGAUUAAUACCGCAUAGUAUCGAAAGAUUAAAGCAGCAAUGCGCUUGGGGAUGGGCUCGCGGCCUAUUAGUUAGUUGGUGAGGUAACGGCUCACCAAGGCGAUGACGGGUAGCCGGUCUGAGAGGAUGUCCGGCCACACUGGAACUGAGACACGGUCCAGACACCUACGGGUGGCAGCAGUCGAGAAUCAUUCACAAUGGGGGAAACCCUGAUGGUGCGACGCCGCGUGGGGGAAUGAAGGUCUUCGGAUUGUAAACCCCUGUCAUGUGGGAGCAAAUUAAAAAGAUAGUACCACAAGAGGAAGAGACGGCUAACUCUGUGCCAGCAGCCGCGGUAAUACAGAGGUCUCAAGCGUUGUUCGGAAUCACUGGGCGUAAAGCGUGCGUAGGCUGUUUCGUAAGUCGUGUGUGAAAGGCGCGGGCUCAACCCGCGGACGGCACAUGAUACUGCGAGACUAGAGUAAUGGAGGGGGAACCGGAAUUCUCGGUGUAGCAGUGAAAUGCGUAGAUAUCGAGAGGAACACUCGUGGCGAAGGCGGGUUCCUGGACAUUAACUGACGCUGAGGCACGAAGGCCAGGGGAGCGGAAGGGAUUAGAUACCCCUGUAGUCCUGGCAGUAAACGGUGCACGCUUGGUGUGCGGGGAAUCGACCCCCUGCGUGCCGGAGCUAACGCGUUAAGCGUGCCGCCUGGGGAGUACGGUCGCAAGAUUAAAACUCAAAGAAAUUGACGGGGACCCGCACAAGCGGUGGAGUAUGUGGCUUAAUUCGAUGCAACGCGAAGAACCUUACCUGGGCUUGACAUGUAAUGAACAACAUGUGAAAGCAUGCGACUCUUCGGAGGCGUUACACAGGUGCUGCAUGGCCGUCGUCAGCUCGUGUCGUGAGAUGUUUGGUUAAGUCCAGCAACGAGCGCAACCCCUGUUGCCAGUUACCAGCACGUGAAGGUGGGGACUCUGGCGAGACUGCCCAGAUCAACUGGGAGGAAGGUGGGGACGACGUCAGGUCAGUAUGGCCCUUAUGCCCAGGGCUGCACACGUACUACAAUGCCCAGUACAGAGGGGGCCGAAGCCGCGAGGCGGAGGAAAUCCUAAAAACUGGGCCCAGUUCGGACUGUAGGCUGCAACCCGCCUACACGAAGCCGGAAUCGCUAGUAAUGGCGCAUCAGCUACGGCGCCGUGAAUACGUUCCCGGGUCUUGUACACACCGCCCGUCACAUCAUGGAAGCCGGUCGCACCCGAAGUAUCUGAAGCCAACCGCAAGGAGGCAGGGUCCUAAGGUGAGACUGGUAACUGGGAUG
rnacentral:rRNA from 1 species